rnacentral:lncRNA from 1 species
AUGGAUGACAUGGUCGAAAAUGGAGGUGGAAUGCAGGGGGUCUGCAGUCAGAGGGAAAAAGGGAAGAACGGGUCUAGCAGCUCAAUGAGCGAAAUUCGGUGUGAGUUCAAUAGCAUCUUAGAUGGUACUGUGUCUCGGAUGAGAACAUGGGAGAAGAAGAUGAGCACUGAGCUGGAGAAGAAAGAUGAGGAGACCCUCUCUUUAAAGAAAACUCUCCAACAGGCCGACAGUGACCUGGAGCACAUUGAGCAUAGAGUGCGUAAGCUCAACCAGGACCAUCAAGAUACUGUGUCUCAGGUGAAAGCUGAAUGGGGGAAGAAGACGAGCAUUGAGCGAAAGAAGAAAAAUGAGGAGAUUUUCUCUUUAAGGAAAGCUCUCCAACAGGCCGACAGUGACCUGGAGCACAUUGAGCAUGGAGUGCGUAUUCUCAACCUCAACCAUCAGGAUACUGUGUCCCAGAUAGAAGCAAAAUGGGAGAAGAAGAUGAAGACUGAGCUGGAGAAGAAAGAUGAGGAGAUCCUCUCUUUAAAGAAAACUCUCCAACAGGCCGACAGUGGAGUGGAGAACAUGAAGAGUGAAAGGGAGAAGAUAAACACUGAACUGGAGAAGAAAGAUGAGGAGAUCUUCUCUUUAAAGAAAACUCUCCAGCAGGCCAACAGUAGAGUGGAGAACAUGGAGCGUGAAGUGUGUAGGCUCAACAGCUACCAUCAGGAUACUGUGUCCCUGAUGGAAGCAGAAUGGGUGAAGGAGAAGAAUAUUGAGAUGGAGAAGAAAGAUCAGGAGAUCCUCUCUUUAAAGAAAACUCUCCAACAGGGAAACAGGAGACUGGAGCACAUUAGGAAUGCAUUAAACUGCAUUUUUGAUGAUGAUGUGUCUCUGAAUGGAGCAGAAAGGGAGAAGACAACGGACACUGAGCUGGAAAAGAAAGAUGAGGAGAUCCUCCCUUUAAUGGAUGUUCAACACCACAAUGGGAUCAUUCCACUGUCUCCUCCUCUGGAGGAGGACACAGUGGAUAGAAUGAUUGACCUUCAGAAAGAACAUGAGGAAAAGCUCACCGACGAACGCCAGGAAACAACAAAACAAGUUAUAGCCCUGACGAAUGAGAACUGUGAUCUCCUGACACAGAUUUCCACCUUGGGGAACAAAGACGCUGAGUGGGACACUCAGUAUGGAGUUCUUCAGACCCAACAUCUCACUCUGAUGGAGGAAAAGGAGAAAAAAACACAAGAAAUGGAGCUUCUGGUGAAGGAAAACGCUGAACUAAAAGUGCUCACCGCCACAAGUGGAAAGCCAAGAAAGAGAAGGAACAGGACAAAGAAGAAGAAGAAGAAGACGAAGGACGUGGAGAUGGAG